CUGGGCUAGAAUGCCUCUGACCGGCGUAGAGAUACGCCUUCCUGGGUAAAACCAGGCAGAGUGCAAGGUGCUGCAUGGCUGUCGUCAGCUCGUGUCGUGAGAUGUUGGGUUAAGUCCCGCAACGAGCGCAACCCUUAUCAACAGUUGCCAUCAUUAAGUUGGGAACUCUGUUGAGACUGCCGUUGAUAAAACGGAGGAAGGUGGGGAUGAUGUCAAGUCAUCAUGGCCUUUAUGCUUAGGGCUACACACGUGCUACAAUGGAUGGUACAAAACGUCGCAAUCUCGUAAGAGGGAGCUAAUCGCGAAAACCAUUCUCAGUUCGGAUUGAAGUCUGCAACUCGACUUCAUGAAGUUGGAAUCGCUAGUAAUCGCAGAUCAGAACGCUGCGGUGAAUACGUUCCC
rnacentral:rRNA from 1 species